GAUGAACGCUGGCGGCGUGCCUAAUACAUGCAGGUCGAGCGAAUGGAUUAAGAGCUUGCUCUUAUGAAGUUAGCGGCGGACGGGUGAGUAACACGUGGGUAACCUGCCCAUAAGACUGGGAUAACUCCGGGAAACCGGGGCUAAUACCGGAUAACAUUUUGAACCGCAUGGUUCGAAAUUGAAAGGCGGCUUCGGCUGUCACUUAUGGAUGGACCCGCGUCGCAUUAGCUAGUUGGUGAGGUAACGGCUCACCAAGGCAACGAUGCGUAGCCGACCGGGGAGGGGGAUCGGCCACACUGGGACUGAGACACGGCCCAGAGUCCUACGGGAGGCAGCAGUAGGGAAUCUUCCGCAAUGGACGAAAGUCUGACGGAGCAACGCCGCGUGAGUGAUGAAGGCUUUCGAGUCGUAAAACUCUGUUGUUAGGGAAGAACAAGUGCUAGUUGAAUAAGCUGGCACCUUGACGGUACCUAACCAGAAAGCCACGGCUAACUACGUGCCAGCCGCCGCAGUAA
rnacentral:rRNA from 1 species